GUCACACAGUGGACACUUCACCAGUGCUAGCUUGAGUGAGGUCUACCUCCAUGGCCCAGCCCUGCUGCCCCCUAGUGAUUUCAUUGAAUGGGAUGAAAAGGUCCCGCGGCAGUGCUGGUGGCCAUGGUUCCCGUAGCCAGAAGGAGUUGCCCACAGAGCCCCCCUACACAGCAUAUGUAGGAAAUCUACCUUUUAAUACGGUUCAGGGCGACAUAGAUGCUAUCUUUAAGGAUCUCAGCAUAAGGAGUGUACGGCUAGUCAGAGACAAAGACACAGAUAAAUUUAAAGGAUUCUGCUAUGUAGAAUUCGAUGAAGUGGAUUCCCUUAAGGAAGCCUUGACAUACGAUGGUGCACUGUUGGGCGAUCGGUCACUUCGUGUGGACAUUGCAGAAGGCAGAAAACAAGAUAAAGGUGGCUUUGGAUUCAGAAAAGGUGGACCAGAUGACAGAGGAAUGGGUAGCUCUUGAGAAUCUAGAGGUGGAUGGGAUUCCCGGGAUGACUUCAAUUCUGGCUUCAGGGAUGAUUUCUUGGGGGGCAGGGGAGGUAGUCGCCCAGGUGACCGGCGAACAGGCCCC
rnacentral:sRNA from 1 species